rnacentral:rRNA from 1 species
AGUGAACGCUGGCGGUAGGCCUAACACAUGCAAGUCGAACGGCAGCACAGUAAGAGCUUGCUCUUACGGGUGGCGAGUGGCGGACGAGUGAGGAAUACAUCGGAAUCUACUUUUUCGUGGGGGAUAACGUAGGGAAACUUACGCUAAUACCGCAUACGACCUACGGGUGAAAGCAGGGGAUCUUCGGACCUUGCGCGAUUGAAUGAGCCGAUGUCGGAUUAGCUAGUUGGCGGGGUAAAGGCCCACCAAGGCGACGAUCCGUAGCUGGUCUGAGAGGAUGAUCAGCCACACUGGAACUGCGACACGGUCCAGACUCCUACGGGAGGCAGCAGUGGGGAACAUUGGACAAUGGGCGCAAGCCUGCUCCAGCCAUACCGCGUGGGUGAAGAAGGCCUUCGGGUUGUAAAGCCCUUUUGUUGGGAAAGAAAAGCAGCAGGUUAAUACCCCGCUGUUCUGACGGUACCCAAAGAAUAAGCACCGGCUAACUUCGUG